AACAGCGACAGCGACCCACUUAGCUUGUGACCUCUACGGAAAUACUGAAGACGUCCUCUGUGUCCUUUUAGACUUUCUGGGGGAGGGGACAGCUGCUGCCCAGAAGCAAGCAGCUUCCUUUUGGCCAGGUCAGUGCAGGGAACCAACAAAGACAGGGACCUGUGGCCAGAAGAAGCACAGCCACAGCAGGUAUCUGAUUGGACUGAGCCAGGAAAGGCCUUCUUGCCCUUAGGGACCCCUCAAAGCUUCUUUCCCACAAGCUGGAAACUGCUUGGCUCACUGCUGUCCUAAAUGCAGGUGCCAGCCGAGGGGGUUACCCUAGGACCGUGAGCCAUUAACAGCUUGUCUCAAAUACGCUUCUCCAAGGCAGUCAGCGACUCCCCACUGAACACCUGUGGGUUCCUGCUGGUGCUAACUUAGGCACAGGGCUAGCAGGUCCCUCCCCUGUAGCAGAUGAUGAGAGCAAGUGUGGUGCAGGAGGAACUGGAAAGAGAGCAUCGUCAGAGGCGACACUUGCGUGGAUUAAAACCAUAUAUUCUUGUGCAAUGUAAAAUUGCCAACUUGCAUCAGCAUAACGAAGGACACACUUAGAAUAGAAAAGCUGAGGAGGACAGAAGAAUAGGAAGAACAACAAAAUCAUGCCUGGUCCUUUUGCCCAGAAAUGACCCAUGUGAAUCUUGGCUGAACUUUUAGACUUUUUCGCGGUGCACAUUUCUGAACAUAAUUUGACAACGUGGGACCUCUAGAAUUGUACAUUCUAAUUUUUCAGUCCAUUUAUUUCUUAUUCCAGAAAGAAUCCAUAUAUAAGGAUGGCUCAUCACAGUGUUGUUUUUAAUUGUGAAAAGCUGAAAAAUGGAUGCUCGCCACUAGUGUUUAUAAAUAAAUUCAAUAAAGUUAUGCUCUCACAAUAAAAUAUUAUGUAAUCAUUUAAAAGAAUAAUCUCAUGCUCUGCGUAUUAUCAUGGAAGGAUGUCCACAAGGUCUUGCUGAAAUUUUUUUAAAAGUCCCAAAACAGUGUAUAUAUAAUUUGAGACUAUUGAUAUAAAAAUAUGGGUGUAUAUGUGUGUAAAAAAAGAUGUUUGGGCCGGGCACGGUGGCUCACGCCUGUAAUCCCAACCUUUUUGGGGCUGAGGUGGGCGGAUCACUUGAGGUCAGGAGUUUGAGACCAGCCUGGCCAACAUGGUGAAACUCCGUCUCUACUAAAAUAAAAAUAAAAAAAAUUAGCUGGAUGUGGUGGUGCAUGCCUGUAAUCCCAGCUACUCCAGAGGCUGAGGCAGGAAAAUCGCUUGAGCCAGGGAGGCGGAGGUUGCAGUGAGCCGAGAUCUCAC
rnacentral:lncRNA from 10 species